CCUACGGGCGGCAGCAGUGAGGAAUAUUGGUCAAUGGACGCAAGUCUGAACCAGCCAUGCCGCGUGCAGGAUGACGGCCCUAUGAGUUGUAAACUUCUUUUGUACGAGAGUAAAGUGAGGCACGUGUACCUUUUUGAAAGUAUCUUAUGAAUAAGGAUCGGCUAACUCCGUGCCAGCAGCCGCGGUAAUACGGAGGAUUCAAGCGUUAUCCGGAUUUAUUGGGUUUAAAGGGUGCGUAGGUGGGUGGUUAAGUCAGAUGUGAAAGUUCGCGGCUCAACCUUAGAAUUGCAACUGAUACUGUCCGUCUUGAGUGUAGUUGAGGUAGGCGGAAUGCGUGGUGUAGCGGUGAAAUGCUUAGAGAUCACGAAGAACUCCGAUUGCGAAGGCAGCUUACUAAACUGCCACUGACAUUGAGGCACGAAAGUGUGGGGAGCAAACAGGAUUAGAUACCCCUGUAGUC
rnacentral:rRNA from 1 species